UUCAUGGUGUAAUAAUUACUUCCCGUUGUCCGCACUCGUAGCUCAUAGGGCGGCCUGCCUUCCAGAGGGCCUUGGGACUGGAUCGAAAGAUAUAUCUACUAGAAACAAUGGUAAGUACUUAAAUGUUUGCGUUACUUUAUAUGAUUGUCAUAAAAAACAGUAGCAGAUGUGGAUGACGGGAGGGAGGUAGAGAGCUGGGCAGCAUGGGCAAUAUCGACUUUAGUCUUUCUAUCUUUUUUCAGAAGAGACGUCGUCGACUAGCUCUGAUCGAUCAGAUGUCGGUUUCUCUCAACCAGACCCCAGCGAUAUUGGAAGUUGUUCUCCACGGGCGGGUCUCAGCGACGAAGCCAGUCAAAACCAAAGGACUAUCUCCGAAGAAGGCGGGUCUGGUAGGCUCAGCCAUUGGCCCUCCUCUUCAACGAUCGGUAGUGGAGGAAAACGAAAACAAGCGAAUACAGGAACAAACGACACCUGCAGGAAAAAGCAAGCCCGUCGUGAGG